AGGACAAACGCUGGCGGCGUGCUUAACACAUGCAAGUCGAACGGUCUUCCUUCGGGAAGAUAGUGGCGGACGGGUGAGUAACACGUAGAUAACCUGCCCUUAUGUGGGGAAUAACCCCUCGAAAGAGGAGCUAAUACCGCAUGAGUUCUCUGUUGAUAGAUAGAGAAGAAACCUCGGUUAUACCUGGGGCAUGAGAGGGGUCUGCGGCGAUUAGCUAGUUGGUGGAGUAACGCUCCCCAAGGCAACGAUCCGUAGCUGGUCUGAGAGGACGGCCAGCCACACUGGGACUGAGAUACGGCCCAGACUCCUACGGGAGGCAGCAGUGAGGAAUAUU
rnacentral:rRNA from 1 species